AUAAAAUAAAAUAAAAAUAAAAACCCAAACCAUUCCUUCUUCUUUCUCACGCGAGGAACUCAAGAAAACCAGGCAACCAUUUUCUCCUUCCUUCCCUUUCGUAUGAACCAGCAAGAUCACCUCCUCCUUCUCUCUCUCGCCGCCAUACCCUUUGAAAAUGGCGGAUUUACACUGAAAUUCUUCAACUAAUCGUCGAUCUCCUUCCCUUCACGACAUCCCUCUUUGAAUCUUUAAACCCUUAUUUCUCGAAAUUUCUUUGAAGAAAACGUCAAUGGCUGCAAGGGCAUGACCCGUUCUUCUUCCCUCUGAUCUUCGAAGGACCUACAUGCAAAAUCAAGUAUAGAAUCAUCCGAAUUCUUCCUUCACUGACUUGAAUUCUGCCGAAUUGGGGAAGGAAUCAGCGAGUUUUGGUCCCGUUGAUUAAACAUCAAAUUCAAACCGAAAAUAAAGCUUUGAACCUGAAAUUGUUUCGUUUCUUGUUGCUGCAAGCAGAAGGAGGCGACGUCAUCGAGGAACCUUUCUAGUUGAUAGCUGCGAAUCGAUCUUGGCUAUCUGAAGCGUCGUCUUUGCUUGUUUACAGAUCGGAACCGGUCGGGAACGAUGGGUUAACAGUGUUGAAUAGCGUUCCAUGGAUGUAUAUUAUUUGUAGUUUUGUAUUAGGUUUUUGGAUAAAUGUAUAUUUGUUUUGGCUGUGCUGGUGAUAUUGGACUUGUAAAGAAUUGUAUUAUUAUCUUGUGUAUUAAUUAGAUAUUGGUUUUGGGAUUUAGCUGAGUUAGUCACGUUGAA